rnacentral:rRNA from 1 species
UACGUAGGAGACGAGCGUUGUCCGGAAUUACUGGGCGUAAAGCGCGUGUAGGCGGGCGUGCAAGUCUGCUGUGAAAGCUCCUGGCUUAACCGGGAGUGGUCGGUGGAAACUGCACACCUGGAGGACGGUAGAGGUAGGUAGAAUUCCCGGUGUAGUGGUGAAAUGCGUAGAGAUCGGGAGGAAUACCUGUGGCGAAGGCGGCCUACUGGGCCGGACCUGACGCUGAGACGCGAAGGCGUGGGGGAGCGAACGGG